rnacentral:rRNA from 1 species
AAAAAUACCCUCUUCUGAUAAAAAAAUUAAAUUAAUCAUUGCUUUCAACAACGGAUCUCUUGGUUCUGGCAUCGAUGAAGAACGCAGCGAAAUGCGAUAAGUAAUGUGAAUUGCAGAAUUCAGUGAAUCAUCGAAUCUUUGAACGCACAUUGCGCCCGCCAGUAUUCUGGCGGGCAUGCCUGUUCGAGCGUCAUUUCAACCCUCAAGCCCCCGGGCUUGGUGUUGGGGAUCGGCGAGCCUCUGCGCCCGCCGUCCCCUAAAUUUAGUGGCGGUCACGUUGUAACUUCCUCUGCGUAGUAGCACACUUAGCACUGGGAAACAGCGCGGCCACGCCGUAAAACCCCCAACUUUAGAAUGUUUGACCUCGAAUCAGGUAGGACUACCCGCUGAACUUAAGCAUAUCAAUAAGCGGA